AUUGAACGCUGGCGGCAGGCCUAACACAUGCAAGUCGAGCGAGCGGCGAACGGGUGAGUAACGCGUAAUCAACCUGCCCUUCAGAGGGGGACAACAGUUGGAAACGACUGCUAAUACCGCAUACUGAAGGAGGGGAUUGCGUCUGAUUAGCUAGUUGGAGGGGUAAGGGCCCACCAAGGCGAUGAUCAGUAGCCGGUCGUGGAGCAUGAACGGCGACAUUGGGACUGAGACACUGCCCAGACUGCUACGGGAGGCAGCAGUGAUGAAUAUUGGUCAAUGGGCGUUAGCCUGAACCAGCCAAGUAGCGUGAAGGAUGAAGGUCUAUGGGUCGUAAACUUCUUUUAUAUAAGAAUAUGUAUUAUAUGAAUAAGGAACGGCUAACUCCGUGCCAGCAGCCGCGGUAAUAC
rnacentral:rRNA from 1 species